AACGAACGCUGGCGGCAUGCCUAACACAUGCAAGUCGAACGAGAUCUUCGGGUCUAGUGGCGCACGGGUGCGUAACGCGUGGGAAUCUGCCCUUUGGUUCGGAAUAACAGUUGGAAACGACUGCUAAUACCGGAUGAUGACGAAAGUCCAAAGAUUUAUCGCCAGAGGAUGAGCCCGCGUAGGAUUAGCGAGUUGGUGUGGUAAAGGCGAACCAAGGCGACGAUCCUUAGCUGGUCUGAGAGGAUGAUCAGCCACACUGGGACCGAGACACGGCCCAGACUCCUACGGGAGGCAGCAGUGGGGAAUAUUGGACAAUGGGCGAAAGCCUGAUCCAGCAAUUCCGCGUGCGUGAUGAAGGCCUUAGGGUUGUAAAGCUCUUUUACCCGGGAUGAUAAUGACAGUACCGGGAGAAUAAGCUCCGGCUAACUCCGUGCCAGCCGCCGCCGUAA
rnacentral:rRNA from 1 species